UUUGAAUAGGGUUUUAGAAAGUAGUCCAGUUGGAAUUUUUUUUUCCAUGUAGCUAUCCUGUUUUCCUAGCACCAUUUAUUGAAGAGACUUUUCCCAGUUGUAUAAUCCUGCUUCCUUUGCCAUAGAUUAAUUGACCAUAUAAGCAUGGGUGUAUUUUUGGGCUCUAUAUUCUGUUCUGUUGAUCAAUGAUUGCUUUGGCUAUUUGUGGUCUUCUAUGGUUCCAUACAAAUUCUAGUAUUCUGUGAAAAAUGCUGUUGAUACUUUGAGAGGAUUGCAUUAAAUCCUAUAGAUUGCUUUGGGUAGCAUAGACAUUUGACCAAUAUUCUUCCAAUCCAUGGGCAUGGAAUAUCUUUCCAUUUGUGUCCUCUUCACUUUCAUGAGUGCUAGAGUUCUCAGGGUGUACAGAUCUUUCAUCUCCUCGGUUACAUUUAUUCCUAGGUGUCUAAUUCUUCUUGGUACUAUUCUAAAUGGAAUUAUUUCCUGGAUUUAUUUUGCUUUGUUAUUUGUGUACAGAAAUGCUACUAAUUCCUGGGUAUUAAUUUUGUAUCCUGCAGUUUUACUGAAUCUAUUUGUUUUUCAUGGCGUCGAUAGCUUUUUCUAUAUAGAGUAUGUUACACAGCCAUGAAAAGGAUGAGCUCUUGUUAAUUGUGACAACACUGAUGGACCCAGAGGGUAUUAUGCUAAGUAAGUCAGACUGAGAAAGACAAAUAUCUCGUGAUUUCACUCCUGUGGAAUCUAAAACAAAAGAUUCAGACUUCUAAAUAGAGCAAACUCAAGGUUGCCUUGAAGGAAGAGGGUGGGGUUUAUAGGCUAAUAAGGUGGAGUGGGAGGUGGUUUCAUUGUUAUGGAAUGAGUAAGUCAUGGAAAUGUGCACAGAAUAGGGAAUACAGUCAGGGAUAUUGGAGUAGUAUCCUGUGGUGACAGAUGGUAGCUACUUGUGAAUGUAGCAUAUAUAGAGAAGUUGAAUCACUAUACACCUGAAACUAAUGUAACACUGUCAAAUAUACUGAAAAACAAAACAAAAUGGAUGAAGCAAUUAAAAAUAUUUUUAUACAUAACAUUGGAAUGAUAUGAAACAGUGUUUUGCUUUAACCAUCAAAAAACAUAAUUUAGAAAUCUGAAAAGGAAGAAAGCUUAUUAUGUUUACCUGUGUUUUGGUUUAUUUGGUUUUUCUACCAAAUGUUUUCUAGAAAACACUUCAGUUGCUUUUAAAGUAGGUUUGCUUGUGAAAAGUCCUGGGUUUCAUUUAUCUGAGAAAGUCUGGAUAUCCCUUCUAUUUCCUGAGGACAUGUUGGAUAUAGGAUUGUAGGUUUGCCAUUUAUUUCUACUUUUGCAUAACACUCAACUCUGGCUACCAUGGUUGCUAAUAAGACAUAUAUUUUCAAUAAAGUAUGUCAUUUUUCUUAGCUGCUUUACAGAUUUUGUUUCAGAAGUUUAAUUAUUAUGGGUCUUGGCAUGGAUUUCUUCGGGGUUAUCCAGUGUUUGGGGUUUUCUUGGUUUCUUGAAUCCAUAGGUUUGUGUCUCCAUGGCAAAUUUGGAGAGCUUUCAGCCAUGAUUCAGUACUUUUUCAGACUCCCCCUUGUUUCUCUUUUCCUGGGAUUCCAUUGACAGAAAAGCUAGAUGAUUAUUAACCCAUAGGUUGCUGAGACUGUUGAUUUUUUUUUUUUCUCUUGUUCAUACUGGGUAUUUCCUAUUCUGCUUUCUAGUUCAUAUUCUUUCCUCUGUUGCCUCCACUCUGUCAUUGAAUUCAUUCACGGAAUUUUAAAUUUUGGUUGUAUAUUUCCUCUAAGAUUCCCAUUUGUGUUUUCCCUUGCUGAGGCUUAAUUUCUUUGAGGCUUUUUUUUUUUUUUGGAUGGGUUUUAAUAAACAUACUUAUAAUUGUUCUUUGAAGUAUUUUUAUGAUGGCUGCUUUAAAAUCUUUGUCAGGGGCGCCUGGGUGGCUCAGUCGGUUAAGCGUCUGACUUCAGCUCAGGUCACGAUCUCACGGACCGUAGGUUCGAGCCCCGCGUCAGGCCCUGGGCUGAUGGCUCGGAGCCUGGAGCCUUUUUCUGGUUCUGUGUCUCCCUCUCUCUCUGCCCCUCCCCCGUUCAUGCUCUGUUUCUGUCUCAAAAAUGAAUAAACAUUAAAAAAAAAAAAUCUUUGUCAGUUAAAUCUGUCUGUCAUUUCAGUGUUGGCAUCUGUUGAUUGUCCCUUCAGUUUCCAGUAUUCCUGGUUCUUGGUUAUGACUAUUUUUCUAUUGAAACCUGGAUCUUUUUGUGUCAUGAAAGACUGUGGUGGUGGUUAAACUUUAAGUGCUUGUGUUUGCUGCUGGCAGAGAGCCGGGGAUACUGCCUCAUUGCUAGCAGGGGGAGCUAGAAGUCUAGGUUCUUCAGUGAGCCUCAGUUGACCUGUGAGUGGGGGUUCUUAAUUGCUGGGUGGGGUGGAAUUUUUGUCUUUUCUCUGCAUGGACCCCGUGGUGUUUCUGCUGAUUGAUGGUGAAAGUCUUUAGUCUGCACUAGGCCACCUCUGUCCCUACCUGAGUGGGAGGGAUGUCACCUUGGGGGGGGGGGCUGAAGUCCAGGCUUACCGUGUUGCUUCUAGUGAUUGAGGAAGAAGGGUGCUCCUCAUUGCCCAGUAGGCUUUAAUCACAACUUCCCUCACUUACUCCGUGGUCUCUGGCACAACCUAGGCAGGAGUGUUUCAGGUGUUCAAGUCUCUAGAGAAAGUAGAAUUCCUGACCUUUGUUGGCUUGGGUGGUGGAGAUGAGGUAGGUUUGGUUAUUUCUUGUGUUUGUGUAUUUGUGUGUGUGUGUGUGUGCCAUAACAACUGUAUUCCAAAUGUCUUCUGUCUAAUAAAGUUGCCUGUUUGCUAGUAUUUUGGUUAUCUGGAGAAGCCUUUUGUCAGGGCUUUUUUUGGGUUGGGCCAUUUGUUUUUAGGUGUCCUAAAUCUUUAGCUCCAAAUCUGGAAUAUAAGAGGCAGAACCAAACAGUGUUAUUUCUUGGUUCCCAGCUUUCUGCCUUCUCUUUAAUAUUCUUAUCCUUGUUUUAUAAAUCCAAGAUUUUCUGUUGUACUUAAUGGGAGGAAUAGGGAAAAGGACAUCUACUCAGUUGUUCCAGAAGCAGCAAAAGUACCAUACAAUACUACUUGAAUGAAAAAAUUGUAGAAAUCAAAGACAGAUGAGUUUUGAACAGGGGUUAGGGAUGGGGUGGGGCUGUGGCAGGAAAGGUAUGUGUGAUGUUCUAAAUAAGCAACCUGAAGAAUUCUUGUGGUUUUUGUACCCACGGUGUUGGAUUAGAGGAACCUUCACUGGUGACCACAUUAUUUACAACCUAAUGUGCAUACACAAGGAAUAUGCAUAAUCUGGGGAAAUUUAAAUUAGAUGGAUUGUGUCAAUGUCAAUAUACUGGUUUCAGUAUUGUACUCUGGUUUUGCAAAUUGUUACCAUGAAUCAAAGUGGACAUGGGACCUCUCUAUUUGAACUAUGUGUGAUUAUGGAGUGAUCUCCGUAAAAAUCUUAAAUUAAUGAAUUCCAAAAUACAAAACUAAAACUAUAGAGUAAGGUAUAUUCACAGAAAUCUUGUUUUCAGAGAUGUCCCCUCCUUUUUUGGCUAAGUAACCAUAUCUGUGUUUUUUCUUUUUGUUUUUUUUUGUUUGCUUUUGUUUUUUCCUUUGGGAACCUUGAUGUGCCCACUUAUGAAGAAUCCUAUUGAAACAUUGUAUAUCGUGCUUUUUCACUUGAUAAUAAGGUUUGCCUUGGUCACUCUAUAUAGACUGUUUUCACCCAUUAUUGCAUGGGUGAACCAUAGUUCGUUGGCUCUUAUAAUAAUACUAUCUUUAUGCUGUGGUUAUUUUGUAUUCUUGUGAGUAUAUUUUGGAAUACAGUAGAGGUGGGAUUUCUAGAUUAAGUGGAAACAUUGGAAAUUUUGCAAGAAUUUUUAAUUCUAGAGAGUUUGUAAUGUAGUUAAUACCAGGGUGGGAUAAUCCCAUUCACCCAAUUACUGUGCUUUUUCUGGCUGUUCUUGGUAUUUUUCCACCUUGAACUUUUCAAUGAACGAUUGAAGGGUGUCUGGAUUUUUUUUUCCUCUUAGAUUAUGUCUACAUUGUUUCAUUGGUCACAAAACCUAGUACUGUGUAUGAAAAGGCUUAUCAAAUCAGUGAGGAAAAAAUGGACUUAAUAGCAAUUUUUGAAACCACUGAAUAGCCAUAUGGAAAAAUAAAAUUAGAUUUGUUCUUCGUUAAUGCAUAAGAAUUAAUUCCAAAUCCAGAAUAAAUUCCAAAUACAAAAAAUGAAAUAGUACAAGCCCUUAGGAAUAGAGAAGGCAUUCCUAUACAAAAUUCAAAACCCAGGAGCAAUUAAGACAUUAAUACAUUUGCCAAAGAUAUAAGCAAGGUUGAAAUAAUCAAACUGGAAAUCAUUGCUACACAUCAUAGACCUAGAAUAAGGACUAACCUUGAUUUUGUAAGGAGCUAUUAAAAACUGGAAGAGUAAUAAAAAAGGGUAACGGAAUAAAUGUAAAUGGCUCUUGAACAGGAAAGUAUAGGGCGUCUGGGUGGCUUAGUUGGUUAAGGGUCUGACUUGUGGGCUCUGGUCAUGAUCUCAGGGUUGAGAUCAAGCUCCUAGUUGGGCUCUGGGCUGGUUGUGGAGCCUGCUUGGGAUUCUUGUGCUCUGGCUCCCUUAGUAGCUCCCCUGCCUUGUGUGUACAUGCUCUCAAAAAAACAAAAACAUGGGAAAGUAUAAAAGCAGUUAAAACAAUGAGUGAGCGAUCAUUUCUUUCGGAUCAAGUGGCAGAAUGCUACAAGUUUAUUUUUUUGCUGGCAAAGCAUUGAGAAAAAGCAUACUGACAUUGUAAGUUCAGAUUCAGUGCUUGUGCGGAAGUUUUUUCAGGGUGCAGUUAAGAGCAUGGACCCUAUGCUCCUGAUGUUGUAAUUACUCUUGUUAGCUACAUGACCUUGCACAAAUUUCUUGGCUUCCCUAAGUUAGUUAUCUUGUCAAUGAAAGAGGGAUGUAAAAAUAUUUAUCUUGGGUGACUUUUGUGAGAAAUAAUACAUUAAAUGAAAGCACCAUGAUAUUUUUUUCCUCAUCACUUCUGUCCUCACUGUUUCCUGAUUGUUAAAUGAUUGCCAGACUAAUUCUUAAGCUGAAGAUGAAGGAGUACUGGAGGGUACUUGGAGGUUGAGCUUGAGCAAUUGCAAGUCCAUGCCUUGUGCCUGUGCAAGUCACAAGGUUUGGGAAGGUCAGGCGUGGAACUGGAGCUCUGAGUGGGAGGGACAGCAUAACCCCACAGUGUGAGGCGUUGUUGCUGCUGUAGCUG